rfam:Anisakis simplex genome assembly, scaffold: ASIM_scaffold0000115
CCAACGGCUCUCCUUAGAGCCAUCUAACCAAUAAACCAAAAUUCAGU